rnacentral:rRNA from 1 species
UACGUAGGGUGCGAGCGUUAAUCGGAAUUACUGGGCGUAAAGCGUGCGCAGGCGGUUUUGUAAGCCAGAUGUGAAAGCCCCGGGCUUAACCUGGGAAUGGCAUUUGGGACUGCAAGGCUGGAGUGUGGCAGAGGAGACUGGAAUUCCUGGUGUAGCAGUGAAUGCGUAGAUAUCAGGAGGAACACCGAUGGCGAAGGCAGGUCUCUGGGCUGACACUGACGCUCAUGCACGAAAGCGUGGGGAGCGAACAGG